UACGUAGGGUGCAAGCGUUUGUCCGGAAUUAUUGGGCGUAAAGAGCUCGUAGGCGGUUUGUCGCGUCUGCUGUGAAAACUCGGGGCUUAACCCCGGGCCUGCAGUGGGUACGGGCAGACUAGAGUGCGGUAGGGGAGACUGGAAUUCCUGGUGUAGCGGUGAAAUGCGCAGAUAUCAGGAGGAACACCGGUGGCGAAGGCGGGUCUCUGGGCCGUAACUGACGCUGAGGAGCGAAAGCAUGGGGAGCGAACAGG
rnacentral:rRNA from 1 species